UUGUGCAGCAAAGUCUUCUGCUUUCUGCUCCGCUUACUGUGCUCUUGGAGAUCCGACAUCCUGCUGCUGUUGCUGAAUAUCAAAUAGCAUUGCACAUCUGCUACAACUGUCUUGGACACUUUUUACAUCUUCUAAAGGAGAAUGGGACAAAACAGAAGCACCCAACAGAAAAAUGAGAAAAGAGACGCUAACAGCCUGUGAAGAAGGAGAAAGGAAACAAAUUCUGAGAGCAAAGUACAGUUGUGUGAUCUAUUUCAAAGGUUUUAUGCCAUGUCCAGCACCAUGGUAUAUGAGUAUAUUGGAAAGAUAAAUUGAACAAAGUCACUUGCAUCUGUCACCUUUCAAAGGCUGAUUAAUGUUCAUAGGCAGGAUAUAACAAACUCUGAAGCUCAAUUACUUGUGGCACCACAAAACUGAAGAGUGGCGAACAGUUUCCUUCUACCACCUUUCAAUUCAGUAACUACUUCUGCCACAUGAGAACUGAUAUGUCAUCUGAUUUUAUAAUGAUGUAUGUCCUCUCUAAUUGUCUUUUACUAAUGAGUCCAUAAACAUGCUUUUUGCAUCACACUUUCACAUUCUAGUAGAAAAGUGAUUUAAUUUUUAUUAAAUUAAUUAACCUUAAUCUUUAUGAUUCCUUGACAAGUCAUUUUCAUGUCAUUGCUUGGUGAUUGGGACUUCUGUGUAGCAAGAAGUCAGUUUUAUUUUCUUAAAAUCUCUCUUAGCUACAACAAGUUGUUCAAAGCUGAAAAACUAUUUGAAAAAGAUGGAAGAAAACUGAGAUGUUAGGGUGGCCACCCUGAAGAGUAUUGGAAAACCUUUUUCCGUAGGCACACUAUUGACCUUUCUCCUUUCUCUCAGCCCGUUUUUAUACCAAAACAGUACCAUAGAAAUGAUGCCAUGUGAAAUUAUACUAAGUUUCUACCUAUUGCCAAUUAGAAAUUGUCAAUAUAACUGGUUAGUUGCAUCUAAAUGUUGAUUUCAUGUAGAUAUGUAACCAAGUAUUUUAAAAGUAUUUUAUCAGGGUGACUACCUGAUUUUAUGUAAAAGAGUUACACACAUCUUAGAAAACAUGUUCCUUUGACUUAAGUGUGAGCGACUAAUGCUUUAUGUACUUUUUGUUUUUACUAACAAGUUUGUCAGAAGGCAUAAAGGAAAAAUUGUGAAUCUGUAAUGCAGAGACUUUAAACAAACAAGCACUACUUUUAUUAAAAAUAAAUCAUAAUUUCCUACUGGAAGUGCAAAGAUGUAACUGAAGGGAAGGCAUGUGUUUGUAUUCUCCACUCACCUCAAGCCUCCCCCCUGCCAAAAAAAAAACUCUUCAAAAAAGUUAACAUUGAAAAGAUUAACAUUUACUCCAGAUAUCGUCUAAGUUAAUAUUUUUAAAGCUCUGUAUCUCUUACACAUUGCUAAAAACAAGCAAACAAAAUCAAAAGUUGUUCUGGAAACUGGCAGUUACUCCCCCAACUUCACAACUUUCAAACACCUACUCUACUUCAACAGUCACACCAACCAAACUGUACCACACAUUCAAUUUUAACUUUGCACCUAUUGUGUCAGAAGAGCUAGAGUAUUUUUUGGUAGUUGUGUAUACUGAUGUACAUCGUAAUAGUGGUGUUAAUGGGUUUUUAUGCUUAUUGAAUUAAGUGGAUGCUCGAGGAUGAUGAUUGGAUGUUUUAGGUAGGCAUUUUUCUGUGAAGUGUUAGUAUUUUUGUAGAGGUGCAGUAUUUUGUGAUGAUUGUUUUUCAGGUAUUGGUUUACAGUGAAUUGUUGAAAAUCGUAGAUGUUUUUGUAUAUGUACAUUAUUAGAUGUACUUAGAGUGCAAAGUUGAGGUUGCCUGUUUGGUGCAAUUUUAUUGGUGUGAAAGUUAAUUUAGGGUAGGUGUUUGAAAGCAUUGAGGUUUGAAUUUUAAGCUCAUCAGGGAUCCACGACCUACCUAGCUACCUCAGUUGUUAUUGUCAUUCCCAAUUCCAAAAUCUGGGAUGAAGAUGACCUGGCAGAAUAAAGAUAUCUCCAGAGACUUUCAAAAGUUAACAUUUCUGCAGCUGUAGGGGAUCCCUUAAACCUUAUUGAUCUUUUUGACGUGUAAUAACUGGCAAACUUUUGACUUCUAUUUCUGCCAGUUAAGUAUUGAACAAUGACCUCUCUACAAAGAUUUAUACCGAUAGUUAAAUCUGUUCUGUACUAAAAUCUUGCUAAUAUCACCCUUUUAUGAUGUGUGAAAUGAAUUAACUAGAUUUGAUUAUACCUACUUGAUAAAUAUUGGAAUAUUCCAUGUUAAAUUCAUAGACUAAACUUUGAUUGUCAUAUCAACUUACUUUGCUAUCUGUAACUCCUUGUUUAUUAAUAUAUUUAUUAAUAGUUAUGAC